rnacentral:lncRNA from 1 species
CCUUUAAUGAUAUUAGAUGCUUGUAAUUAGGCCUUCGACAUAGCUUAUCUCUAUUGGUGCAUGAUCCGUCCAUUUAGGCAUAAACUAUUCUAGGACUUUAUCUUAUAAGUAAAGAAGAAAUAAUAGAUCAAAGCUAGAAACUAUCCAUCUUUCCUCGGCACACCCCAUAUUAAUAGAUCACGGUGUGUCUCCAAAAAGUACAAGGUAUACAACUCUUCUUUUCUUAGCAUGCCCCAUAUCCAU